rnacentral:rRNA from 1 species
GUAGGGAAUAUUGGACAAUGGGGGCAACCCUGAUCCAGCGACGCCGCGUGAGUGACGAAGGCCUUCGGGUCGUAAAGCUCUGUUGCAAGGGAAAAACAAAAUGAUGGUACCUUGCUAGAAAGGAUCGGCUAACUUCGUGCCAGCAGCCGCGGUAAGACGAGGGAUCCUAGCGUUGUUCGGAAUUAUUGGGCGUAAAGCGGGUGUAGGUGGCUUUGUAAGUCAGGUGUGAAAGCCUGGGGCUUAACCCCAGAAGUGCAUUUGAUACUGCGAAGCUUGAGUGCUGGAGAGGCUACUAGAAUUCUUGGUGUAGUGGUGAAAUACGUAGAUAUCAAGAGGAAUACCGGAGGCGAAGGCGGGUAGCUGGCCAGACACUGACACUCAGACCCGAAAGCGUGGGGAUCAAACAGGAUUAGAAACCCUGGUAGUCC